GUGACCUCAAAUCAGGUAGGACUACCCGCUGAACUUAAGCAUAUCAAUAAGCGGAGGAAAAGAAACUAACAAGGAUUCCCCUAGUAACUGCGAGUGAAGCGGGAAAAGCUCAAAUUUAAAAUCUGGCGGUCUUAUGGCUGUCCGAGUUGUAAUCUAGAGAAGUGUUAUCCGCGCUGGACCGUGUACAAGUCUCCUGGAAUGGAGCAUCAUAGAGGGUGAGAAUCCCGUCUUUGACAUGGACUGCCAGGGCUUUGUGAUGCGCUCUCAAAGAGUCGAGUUGUUUGGGAAUGCAGCUCAAAAUGGGUGGUAAAUUCCAUCUAAAGCUAAAUAUUGGCGAGAGACCGAUAGCGAACAAGUACCGUGAGGGAAAGAUGAAAAGAACUUUGGAAAGAGAGUUAAACAGUACGUGAAAUUGCUGAAAGGGAAACGCUUGAAGUCAGUCGCGUCAUCCAGGGAUCAACCUUGCUUUUGCUUGGUGCACUUCCUGGUUUGAUGGGUCAGCAUCAAUUUUGACUAUUGGAAAAAGGCUGAGGGAAUGUGGCAUCUUCGGAUGUGUUAUAGCCCUUGGUCGCAUACAAUGGUUGGGAUUGAGGAACUCAGCACGCCGCAAGGCCGGGUUUUAAACCACGUACGUGCUUAGGAUGCUGGCAAUAUGGCUUUAAUCGACCCGUC
rnacentral:rRNA from 4 species